UUUGUUCUCGGUCCCCUGGCUGCCAUCUCGGGAUUCUGCUCAAGCCCCAGGAGCCUCACCCAGAGGCCGCGGGCCCCUCCUCAGCUCUGAGCUGGACCCAGGGAUGUAAACCCCAUCGCCUGUGCUGGCGGAGUUGCUUCUUGGCUUCCUCGAACCACUGGGGACCUUGCCUGUGGACACUCGGAGAUUACAAUGUGGAUACACGUGGCUCCAGACACUUGGUGGAAGAGAGGUGAGAAAAAC